rnacentral:rRNA from 1 species
GAUGAACGCUGGCGGCGUGCUUAACACAUGCAAGUCGAACGAUGAAGCCCAGCUUGCUGGGUGGAUUAGUGGCGAACGGGUGAGUAACACGUGAGUAACCUGCCCUUAACUCUGGGAUAAGCCUGGGAAACUGGGUCUAAUACCGGAUAGGAGCGUCCACCGCACGGAGGGUGUUGGAAAGAUUUAUCGGUUUUGGAUGGACUCGCGGCCUAUCAGCUUGUUGGUGAGGUAAUGGCUCACCAAGGCGACGACGGGUAGCCGGCCUGAGAGGGUGACCGGCCACACUGGGACUGAGACACGGCCCAGACUCCUACGGGAGGCAGCAGUGGGGAAUAUUGCACAAUGGGCGCAAGCCUGAUGCAGCGACGCCGCGUGAGGGAUGACGGCCUUCGGGUUGUAAACCUCUUUCAGUAGGGAAGAAGCGAAAGUGACGGUACCUGCAGAAGAAGCACCGGCUAACUACGUG